GACGAACGCUGGCGGCGUGCUUAAUACAUGCAAGUGGAGCGACGAACCAGGCUUCGGCCUGGGGCAGAGCCGCGAACGGGUGAGUAACACGUGGGUAACCUGCCUCGAUGACCGGGACAACCCGGGGAAACCCGGGCUAAUACCGGAUGUGCUGUCCCCACAUCAGUGGAGACAGGAAAGGAAGCUUCGGCCUCCGCAUCCGAGAUGGGCCCGCGGCCCAUUAGCUUGUUGGUGUGGAACGGCUCACCAAGGCUGCGAUGGGUAGCUGGUCUGAGAGGACGAUCAGCCACACUGGGACUGAGACACGGCCCAGACUCCUAC
rnacentral:rRNA from 1 species